rnacentral:rRNA from 1 species
UGCCAGCAGCCGCGGUAAUACGGAAGGUGCAAGCGUUGUUCGGAAUGACUGGGCGUAAAGCGCACGUAGGCGGGUUUGUAAGUAUAGUUUGAAAUCCCUGGGCUCAACCUGGGAACUGGACUUUAGACUGCAGAUCUUGAAUGUCUGAGGGGUUGAUGGAAUUCCAGGUGUAGGAGUGAAAUCCGUAGAUAUCUGGAGGAACACCAGAGGCGAAGGCGGUCGACUGGCAGAACAUUGACGCUGAGGUGCGAAAGCGUGGGUAGCAAACAGGAUUAGAUA